UGCCCCUACGGGACGCAGCAGUGGGGAAUAUUGGGCAAUGGGCGCAAGCCUGACCCAGCAACGCCGCGUGAAGGAAGAAGGCUUUCGGGUUGUAAACUUCUUUUAUCAGGGACGAAGCAAGUGACGGUACCUGAUGAAUAAGCCACGGCUAACUACGUGCCAGCAGCCGCGGUAAUACGUAGGUGGCGAGCGUUAUCCGGAUUUACUGGGUGUAAAGGGCGUGUAGGCGGGAAUGCAAGUCAGAUGUGAAAACUAUGGGCUCAACCCAUAGCCUGCAUUUGAAACUGUAUUUCU
rnacentral:rRNA from 1 species